CCAUAGCUCACUUCACAAAGCAACAAAUUCAACAAAAGGAGAAGGAGCUUAAAGGUAACUACAGGACACUAAGAGAUGCAAAAAAGGAAAGUGGUAAUGGCUGGAAUGAAUCUUUGUGCAUGAUACUUGCCGAACCAAAAAUCUGGGAGAAGUUAAUUAAGAACCAUCCAAAAGUAGCAAAGUUUCGCAAAAAGCCAUUUCCUCUCUUUUACCAAUUGGAAGCACUAUAUUAAGGAAGUAUUGCCACAGGGAAUCUAAACUUCACUUCAAUUCAGCAAAAGGAUCCUUUUGACGAUACUCCUAUGGCUGCUCCAAGGGUUGCUCCUAUGGCUGCUCCAACUGUUGCUCCUAUGGCUGCUCCUGCUGAGAGAAGUAUCUCGGAACAAAGCUUCCACAGUGAUCUUAGAGACUUUGGCAAUAAUCUGUAUGCUUCAAGUUUUGAUGGCCAAGGGACCUCAAGUGCACGCAAUGAACAAAAUGAAGCUCAAUCUGCUCCAAGUGAAGGAGGAAGUGGGAGAAAGCAUAAGCAAAGUCACAUUGGAUCUGCGCUUGAGGAUUAUGUGGAGUUUAAAAAGAGUCAAACAAGCAAAACUUUGGAAUCUCUGAAUGAAAAGAAAAAGCGUGCUGAGGAAUUUUGUUUUGAGAAGUGUGCUGAUCAAGUGGAUUCUAUAAAUGAAUUAACAAAUGAUGAGAAGUCAUAUGCUAUGGAGCUCUUUGAAUCUGAUACAAACAGAGAAGUGUUCAUGAAGACCAAAAAUCCUGAAGUUCGUCUAAUUUGGCUAAAGAGAAAAAUCAGAGCACUUGCUGCAAACAGUGCAUAGAAGGUAGAAGUUAUUUCGUGACAGGAGUGGCACAAAUGCAGACCAAAGAAGAGAGGAAGGCUGAAGCAUGCAAGUGAUUUCCUAAAGUAUUGACGGACAACGUAGUUUUGUGUGAGCUGUGAUAGUUGAAUGUAGUAGAUUCAGGAAUCCGACAACACUUGUCUUGAAUUUUAUUUUACCGUACUUAUGUACCAUUUGAGUAUUAUGAAGUGACCUUUAUAUGA